rnacentral:lncRNA from 1 species
AUGAUGUUCGUUCUUGUUUUGCAAUAGAUGUGAUUAAACAUGUGGGGAAGGAACAUUCAUGCGCACCAAUCAAGAAGGAUGUCCCUAGAUGCAUCAUCGAAAAGGGUAUUGGAGUGGAGUAUACAAAGCAUGUCAUGGAGGAUGUACCCCUCCAUGCCGUGGCACCUAGUCAAGCUUAAACGGAGGUACCGUCCGGCUGGAAGACGUUAAAGAAAGCGCUUCGUGGGAGGCAACCCAUGCAUUCGACAAAGGAAGGCCUAGAGAGCACUCCAAUUCCAGAUUUGCGUUCCUAAACCCUUCUCUUUGUUGUUUAAUUAGUUUCUGCCAUAUUUAGUUUGUUAGUGUUUGUUUGUUUGUUUAUGUGUUUUUGUGUUAGUUAUGCUUUGAAACAUUGAGGACAAUGUUUGGUUUAAGUGUGGGGGGGGUAACCAAAGUGUUUUGAUGCAAAUUCGUAGGGUUUUCUCACUCAUACUUCCCAAUGUUGUUUCUUGCUGUUUUUAGGUGUUUUUAGGCUGUUUUGGUGAGUUUUAGUGUGUGCUGACUUAUAACUCCGAAAAUCACAUAAAAAUUUGAAAAAUUGCUUUGCAAAACCCAAAAAGAGUUGUUUUUGUGUGUUUGUUUGUGUCUUAGGGUACCUUCCAACAAAAUGAUGAGGAUUUGGUUUGUAAUUUCAUGGCUGUUAAAGAGAGUGAUUAACAUGGAUGAAAGUUUUGAUUUACUCUUUGUUUAUGCUUGGUUGUGGUUAUAACUUAUGAAUUUACAUGCAAUCUUAAAAGGAAAAAUCAGUUUUUGUAACAUGCUUGAAGGAAAGAACUCAAACUAACGCUACAACCUUGUGAGACUUGAGCCUAAAACGUUUAUUUGGAGAGUUAAUAAUCUGUGAUUUAUUGUUUUCUAAGUCGUUGCAUGAUCUCAUUAUUCUUUGCUUGGUUACUACUUAGAAGGCGUUUCAUCAUUUAGUUCCAAAUGCUAGAACUCAUACCCAUUUCAUUCAAAGCAUGUCAUUGAUUUGCAUAACACAUAUUCAAGAUAAAGUUGUGUAGUGACCACCACCAUAACCAAAAAGCCGUGAAUCCCCUAUGUCAUUAUGUUUUGUACGUUUUAAUCCCGUUGAGCUUUGUGAGCCUUUUCUUUGUAACCCACAUUACCCUCACCUAGCUUAGAUUAGGACCAUCCAUUAACCUUGUUCUUAAAGCGUAGUAAAGCAUGAUUCAAAUUGAAUUCCUUUGUGGCAGAAAACAAGUGUGGGGGAAGUGUUUUUCAUAAGGAAUUAUGUGCCAUAGGCACGGGUAAAAAGAAAACAAAAGAAAAGAAAAAUGUGAAAAGAAUGCGAAAAGAGUUGAAAAGAAGUGAAAAAGAGUUCUAAAGUGUUGUUUGAUGAAGAAGGGGUCCAAAACAAUGAAUUCGACCCUAAGGAGUUGUUUAAAUCUUCCCCUUGUGUUUUAAAGCUAAUUUCUGCAAUCUAAGUAAAUUCUAAGUCUCAAUUUCAUUACUUUGCUUACUAUCACUUUAAGAACGUUUGUUUUCCUUAUCCUUUCUUUGUUAGCCAAUACCCCAAGCCCCGUUACAACCCUUGACUUCUAUCUUGAGUGUUAUGUGUUUCAAUUUGUGGAGAUUGAACUUGGUAUGAGCAUAUGGUCACUGGUUCUCGCAUCUAAGUAGUAGCAUUCCAUUCAUGAGAUCAUAUCUCAACAUGCUUAUUAACUCUAGAAAUUGUGUUCUUUGUUAUACAUAUAUGUGAGCAUUCGUUUCUAUAUCUACAUCAAUUCUCUCACAUAUAACUAGUAUAGGGUGUGUAGUUAGAAAAUCUGAGUGAAAAUAAAGUGCGUAUCUUGUAAAGAUUGAGGGAAUUCUCUAAGGCAUGUUACUACAUUCAAAACAUUGUUUUAAUUGGUUAAUUGUGAAUUAGUAAGUAGUGACUAUGAUUAAGUAUGUGCUUAAGUGUUAAAUUGACUCAAUUCUGUGGGAAUGAUAAUCUUUAACAUGUCAUGUGCAUUGGAAAUCCCUAAGGCAAAUGUUGGAAGGUUAGGUUAUGUUUUAUUUGUUUUAUUUUGCUCGAGGACUAGCAAUAGCUAAGUGUGGGGGAAUUUGAUAGACGCAUAUUUAUGCGACUUAGUUAACUAGUUUUCUUGCAUUUACGUUAUUAGUUCUUAGUUAUUUUAGUACUUUAAGCCAUUUUCGUGUGUUUGUAGGUCCAAAGGGCUAAGGUAGCAAGAAAGUGCAUUUUGGUGCAUUUUGGAGCAGUUUUGAGCUUGUAAUGGAUUACAUAUGAUAUGAGCAAGAUGGAUGGACGAAUUUGAAGACAAAAGAGGCUAGGAACAUGCUAAAAAUCUGGUGAAACAAAUAUAAGUUGCAAGAAGG